UACGAAGGGGGCUAGCGUUGCUCGGAAUCACUGGGCGUAAAGGGCGCGUAGGCGGCGUUUUAAGUCGGGGGUGAAAGCCUGUGGCUCAACCACAGAAUGGCCUUCGAUACUGGGACGCUUGAGUAUGGUAGAGGUUGGUGGAACUGCGAGUGUAGAGGUGAAAUUCGUAGAUAUUCACAAGAACACCGGUGGCGAAGGCGGCCAACUGGACCAUUACUGACGCUGAGGCGCGAAAGCGUGGGGAGCAAACAGG
rnacentral:rRNA from 1 species